GACGAACGCUGGCGGCGUGCUUAACACAUGCAAGUCGAACGGAAAGGCCCUGCUUUUGUGGGGUGCUCGAGUGGCGAACGGGUGAGUAACAAGUGAGUAACCUGCCCUUGACUUUGGGAUAACUUCAGGAAACUGGGGCUAAUACCGGAUAGGAGCUCCUGCUGCAUGGUGGGGGUUGGAAAGUUUCGGCGGUUGGGGAUGGACUCGCGGCUUAUCAGCUUGUUGGUGGGGUAGUGGCUUACCAAGGCUUUGACGGGUAGCCGGCCUGAGAGGGUGACCGGCAGCAUAGGGACUAAGAGAGGGCACAGUGGAGUACGGGAGCAAGCAGGAGGAAUUAUUACAAAGUGGGUGGGAGUUGGGGGAAGCAUCGCCGUGGGGGAGAUGACGGAGUUGGGGUUGAGAACCGAUUUCGCCUGAAACGAGGGGAAAGUGACGGUAGUUGGUAAAGAAGCACCGGCUAACUACGUG
rnacentral:rRNA from 1 species